CUUUCACCUCACCAUGGGAGUAGCAUCUUCUGGCAGAGAAGCAGGGUGGACAGCUGGGAGCAGUAAUAGUUUGAUCUGCUGCAGGCUGUCAUGGUCACACCUGUGGCAAGCUACGUAUUUGUCAUUUUCCUCUGGAUGGUCCCAAGAUCAAUCCUCCUCAAGUAACACAGGGUUACUGUGAAGUGCUGCUGAGUGGAGUUCAGCCAGAGCUGUGGAGAGCCCUUUCACCAAGGUAUUGUGGAAGGGAGGAAGCAAGGAGAUACAUUCAUCUGGACUGAGUUCAACUGCAAUACCAGAGCCUAACAGUUCCUUGUGGCACUCCAGAAGGUUUUCUGCUCACCUCUACUUUAGGCUGGUGAAUUAUUUCCUCUUCAGCAGCACUUCACUUUCUCCAUGGGCUAGGAGAUCAAAUGUAGUGUUAUCUCACCACUUAUGAUCACACAGCAAAGUUGUCCUCUGUGUAUUUAUCUAACAUGAGACAUAC